GCGAAGGUGGCGGAACUGGCAGACGCGCUGGAUUCAGGUUCCAGUCCUAGUAAUAGGGUGGAGGUUCAAGUCCUCUCCUUCGCA
rnacentral:tRNA from 1 species